rnacentral:rRNA from 1 species
AUUGAACGCUGGCGGCAGGCCUAACACAUGCAAGUCGAGCGAGCGGCCGACGGGUGGGUGAUGUCUGGGAGACUGACUGAUGGGGGGGGAUAACUACUAGAAACAGUAGCUAAUACCUCCUGCCCUCAGAUGUGCCCAGAUGGGAUUAGCUCGUGGGUUGGGUAACGGCUCACCAAGGCGACGAUCCCUAGCUGGUCUGAGAGGAUGACCGGCCACACGGGAACUGAGACACGGUCCAGACUCCUACGGGAGGCAGCAGUGGGGAAUAUUGCACAAUGGGGGCAAGCCUGAUGCAGCCAUGCCGCGUGUGUGAAGAAGGCCUUCGGGUUGUAAAGCACUUUCAGCGGGGAGGCGUUACCCGCAGAAGAAGCACCGGCUAACUCCGUGCCAGCAGCCGCGGUAAUAC